CCCUUAACUCUGGGAUAAGCCUGGGAAACUGGGUCUAAUACCGGAUAUGACUCCUCAUCGCAUGGUGGGGGGUGGAAAGCUUUAUUGUGGUUUUGGAUGGACUCGCGGCCUAUCAGCUUGUUGGUGAGGUAAUGGCUCACCAAGGCGACGACGGGUAGCCGGCCUGAGAGGGUGACCGGCCACACUGGGACUGAGACACGGCCCAGACUCCUACGGGAGGUAG
rnacentral:rRNA from 1 species